CGACUUAUUAAAAAAUAACAAAAGAACUGGGAUGUUGUCAAUCAGGAACAAAAACAAAGUUGCUGGAAAAGCUCAGCAGGUCUGGCAGCAUCUGUGAAGGUAAAAAGACAGAUCCAGUUUUCAGUCUCAUUCGUCUCAAAAUGCAACAUUGCGACGACGUUCAUUUGCUUCCAACAAUAACACAAAGCACUGCGCAUGCUCCAGCUCACAGUGAAGUCCGGCUGAUUGAUGUCAGUGCGCGACCAAUAGGAGCACAGGUGUGCCGUGCAUGACCGGACGGAUGUCGCCCAAUCGGAAUGAAGGGAGGGCGGGAUCAGUGAAAACCACGUGAUCAUCCACGAGUGCGGUGCAGAGUCGCUGAGAUAACCGGAACUGCAGAUGCUGGAGAAUCCGAGAUAACACGGUGUGCAGCUGGAUGUACACAGCAGGAAAGCUGACGUUUCGGGCCUAGAUCCUUCGCUGAGACCAAGAUUUGUGCAAUUGAGAUACCAGCGAUCGUUGCCAAAGCCCUGUUACCUGUGGAGAAGGUGAUGUUUAACUUUCGUGUGCUACUGCAGUUUGUAUGAUAAAGGUGCUCUCUCAAUGCUCCAUUUGAGAAGUUACAGAUCAUUCAUCUAGCGAUACUGAAGAGCUACUGAAGAGCUAAUGGUGAUAUUACAAGUGGACUUUCAGGUAGGAAGCUCAAUAAUUGUAACACCAAACUCUGACAGAAUUACUCAAUUCAUCAGGACCUGGAUAUUCGCAUUGUGUGAGAGUAUUGUGUUCCUGCUCAUUCCCAUUUGCCAUGUAAAAUUUCUCUCUUAUUACUCCAUUCUCUCAAUAGAUCUUUCCUACAACUUUCAAUAUAUGUCCUGUAGUCCUUUUUUAUGGCCAGUUGUGUACGUUUUACCAUUCUAAUGUUUAUCUUUUGUAAACACCUCCUAUCAAAGGUCCCCUCAAAAUCCUUUGUUACAAGGAGAUCAAUCUCCGUUUCCCCAAGCACCUGAUUACCCAAUGACAGUUUGCUUCUUGUGUGUGAGGCACUCAUCCACUUUUCAUUUCCACUUACCUGCAUGAGUACAGCCCCAACAAUAUUAAAGGAAGUUAACAUCCUCCAGAUGAAGCAGUGUCGGAGUGGUGUCCCAUCCACCACAUUCAACAUUCCCCUCUACACCACUGAGGCAAAGUGGCAUCACUGUGCCUAAGGUGAAGUCACCAUUAUCCUACCUGACCAUAGGGCUAGUUUAACCUGAAGAUUACCACACCCCAGGCAAGGGGAGAGGUUGAGAAUGAGAGUCCAUCUAUUGUCGAUGGAUAUUCUCAAUAUGUACCAGCAAUACCUAAGUCACAUGAAAUUAUAACUUUAAAAAAAACCCUAUCCAUGCAACUAAAAACCCUCUUCGUACAAACCAUUCUGUUAAAUCUCCUCUGCCCCCUAUCAGGGACCCUCCCGUCCUUCACGGUGUGUGGGGGAUCUUUGGUUUGCACAGACUCAGCUCGUCUCUGUUCCUGUCUGUGAUGUCAUCAUGCUGUGACAAUGGCACUGAGCCUCACUCUCUGUGAGGGUGGUAGGCACAGAGAUCCUCAUAGCGUUUAAGGCAUAUUUAGAUGCACACUUGUGAUGCCAACACAGACAAGUGUAUGGGCCAAGUGCUGGAAAAUUAGAUUAGAAUAGUUAGGGUGUGGUUUUUAACCAGCCCAGGCUGUAUGGGCCACAAAGCCUUUUUCUGUGCUGUAGACCUCCGAGACUCUUCACAUAGGAAGAUGCCCAGCAAUAUUUCAAGUUAUUUCAGAAAAUGAGAUAUUAGACUAAAUGACUCAUGAUUGGUCAGUGUUUUCGGGAGUAAAGUGAGGUAUAGAGGGAAAGCGGUUGACUUCAAU